rnacentral:lncRNA from 1 species
CUAAUAAUCCCUCAUAUAAGAUUAUUAAGCUCAAAUUAAUAAACUACUACUCAGUUCAAUUAAAUAAAUUAGAUUCAUCUUCUAAUUAACUAUCAAGGGCCAACAAUAAUCUUAUUUAACCAAGCCCACUAGAAAUAAUAAUAAGCUCAUCAUAAAUAGCUUAAACCCAAUUACUAGUUUGAGCCCAAUUACCAUUUUCAUAUUUAAAUAAAUUAAAAUUAAUAACCUUCUUUAAAACAUAAAACAAGUUAAUCUCUCUCUGUUUUCUAUUUCUUCCCCACGCAGACAUCUCUCCCUCUCUUCGCUCCCUCUCUCGGCCGCCUCUCUCUCCCCCCUUCUCCGGCGACGUCGCCAGUUCUCGCCGUCUCCGGCGUGGCGAGGUCGGCACCUCUCCUUCUCCCCCUUUCUUUCAUUUCUUUCCCCCAAAUUCUCAAGCUACAAACUACCUAGGGUUUUUAAGUUUCCCCAUUUCAAAUCUGCUCGUCCGGUGAACUCCAGUGAAUAACGCCGUCUCCGUCGCUACUGCCGCUGCCUGAACGUUGCGCUGCCGUCCCUGCCUCAGGUAUGCCUUUGCCCUUUCUCUGCUCUCCCUAUCAAUCUCCCUCUCUCGGCUCUCUCUAUUUCACUCUCUUUCUCCCUCGCUUAAACUCUUUCUUGCUGUCGGAAACCACCGCGGACCACCGUGGCAGCGCCAGCGGUCGCCGCUGCCACCAACCGCGCCUCCGCUGCGGUGGCUCGCGCCUGCUGCUGCCAUUCCCCUCCUUCUUCACCUUAUUUCCUUUUUCUUUUGUGCUCUUCAAUCUAUUUUCCAGUUUAACAUCUCGUAUUAAUAAAUCCCUAACUAUUUCCUAUUUCAGGAAUCGACUAGCGUCGUUGCUUCGAGACCUCUCCGGCGAGCCAGCCCAUCUACUGCUCAAGACUCUUAUCUUUUUUACCAUUCUUUUGUUAUUAAUCUGCUUUCUUAUUCGAAUACUGCAAAAUUAAGGUUUUGAUGGUGAAGCACAGUGUACUAAUUAACUAUGCUUAUGUUUAAUCUGGUGUGGCUAUGUCCUUUCUGCUGUUCUUGAUUGCUUUUUUUUUAUAUACAAGGAAUUGAUUGAAGAACAUACGGAGAUACACACAGAGAUACUACCUG